GACGUAGGGCGCGAGCGUUGUCCGGAUUUAUUGGGCGUAAAGAGCUCGUAGGCGGCUUGUCGCGUCGAAUGUGAAAACCCACGGCUCAACUGUGGGCUUGCAUUCGAUACGGGCAGGCUAGAGUUCGGUAGGGGAGACUGGAAUUCCUGGUGUAGCGGUGAAAUGCUUAGAUAUCGUCAAGAACACCGAUAGCGAAGGCAGCUUACUAGACUGUAACUGACGCUGAUGCACGAAAGUGUGGGGGAUCAAACAGG
rnacentral:rRNA from 1 species